AACGAACGCUGGCGGCAGGCCUAACACAUGCAAGUCGAGCGCGCCCUUCGGGGUGAGCGGCGGACGGGUGAGUAACGCGUGGGAACGUGCCCUUUUCUACGGAAUAACCUCGGGAAACUGAGAGUAAUACCGUAUACGCCCUUUGGGGGAAAGAUUUAUCGGAAAAGGAUCGGCCCGCGUUGGAUUAGGUAGUUGGUGGGGUAAUGGCCUACCAAGCCGACGAUCCAUAGCUGGUUUGAGAGGAUGAUCAGCCACACUGGGACUGGGACACGGCCCAGACUCCUACGGGAGGCAGCAGUGGGGAAUCUUAGACAAUGGGGGCAACCCUGAUCGAGCCAUGCCGCGUGAGUGAUGAAGGCCUUAGGGUUGUAAAGCUCUUUCAGCUGGGAAGAUAAUGACGGUACCAGCAGAAGAAGCCCCGGCUAACUCCGUG
rnacentral:rRNA from 1 species